UCUGGCUCAGAUUGAACGCUGGCGGCAGGCCUAACACAUGCAAGUCGAACGGUAGCACAGAGAGCUUGCUCUCGGGUGACGAGUGGCGGACGGGUGAGUAAUGUCUGGGAAACUGCCCGAUGGAGGGGGAUAACUACUGGAAACGGUAGCUAAUACCGCAUAACGUCGCAAGACCAAAGUGGGGGACCUUCGGGCCUCACACCAUCGGAUGUGCCCAGAUGGGAUUAGCUAGUAGGUGGGGUAAUGGCUCACCUAGGCGACGAUCCCUAGCUGGUCUGAGAGGAUGACCAGCCACACUGGAACUGAGACACGGUCCAGACUCCUACGGGAGGCAGCAGUGGGGAAUAUUGCACAAUGGGCGCAAGCCUGAUGCAGCCAUGCCGCGUGUAUGAAGAAGGCCUUCGGGUUAAAGUACUUUCAGCGGGGAGGAAGGCGGUG
rnacentral:rRNA from 1 species